rnacentral:rRNA from 1 species
UACGGAGGGUGCAAGCGUUAUCCGGAUUCACUGGGUUUAAAGGGUGCGUAGGAGGGCAGGUAAGUCAGUGGUGAAAUCCUGGGGCUUAACCCCAGAACUGCCGUUGAUACUAUCGGUCUUGAAUACCGUGGAGGUGAGCGGAAUAUGUCAUGUAGCGGUGAAAUGCUUAGAGAUGACAUAGAACACCAAUUGCGAAGGCAGCUUGCUACACGUUUUAUUGACUCUGAGGCACGAAAGCGUGGGGAUCAAACAGG